AUAUAUAUCUACUUGAAAGAUCAUCUUCAUCUACUAAGAAUGGACAUACCAAUUUAAAUCUUUAGUAUUGAUGAUAAAAAAUACUAUAUACUUAACAAUACUAGAUGAUUUUGUUUGUACGUAGUUAGUAGUAGUUGGUUACUUGGUUUUGUUUUUCAAUUCUCGAUAUAUAGGAAAAGGACAUAGUACAAAAAUGAAGGAAGUUUUGUGAAUUUUAAUUCGAACAAGUGUGUAAAAAAAAUAAGUUGUUUCUUGAAUUGAUAGUGAAGGUUUAUUUAAAUUGUUUUGCAUUGAUUCAAUUUUAUGCAAAUUUCCCUUUGUAAACUGUAAUCCAAACACACACUAAGCAGAUUCUAUUUUGGCAGGUAAGCUUCCUUUACCACUUCAAAAAAGUGUGACUUGCUAUAUGUUAAUACCUUUAGUUCUCCUAAUGCAGAUUGGUUUUUCUGGUUACUUGAGUUGCUUUUAAGGCCGUGGCUUCUUCUUGGAGUCCAAAGCAUGAGAAGAUGCAGAAGAACUUGAGUACAAAGUUAGCUGUGGCAAUAAGAAGUGUUCAAUGGAGUUAUGACAUUUUAUGUUCACCUUCAACAACCCAAGAUGGGUAAUCAAUUUAAAAACAAAAACUUUUUAGAAUACAAAAAACAAUGCCACUUUUCUCUCAUGAUAUGAAGUUUCUAUUUUGGUAAUUUUGAUUCUUUUGAGUCUUGUGUAUAUGAUGAUCAUUGUGUUCCGUUAGUUUCAUGAAUAGGUUGUCUUGUCAGAACUUUUUGAGACAUACAUAAGGCUUUCGUUACGCAGAAAAAAAAACAUGUUAUUCAUACUUCAUUUAGUUUAUGACUUCAUCAGCCUUUAAGAAUUAGCAUGUAAGUACUUCUGUCUUGGAUCCAACUUUCUGCCCUGUUUUAUGUAAUUAAACUUUCAGUGAGUUACACCAUUGAUGAUAGCAAGGCCCCUAUAUUUGAUUUGUUAUUAUAAUCUAUUUAAUCUUUCUUUA